rnacentral:rRNA from 1 species
GACGAACGCUGGCGGCAUGCUUAACACAUGCAAGUCGAACGGAAACGCCGGGCUUUUGUGCGGUGCUCGAGUGGCGACCGGGUAAGUAACACGUGAGUAACCUGCCCCUGCCUUUGAGAUAAGUUCAGGCCACUGGGGCUCAUCCCGGAAAGGAGUUCUUGCUUCUUGGUGGGGCCUGGAAAGUUUCGGCUGUUGGGGAUGGACUCGCGGCUUAUCGGCUUGUUGGUUGGGUAGUGGCUUAGCAAGGCUUGGACGGGUAGCCUGCCUGAGAGGGUGACCGGCCACAUUAGGACUGAGAUACGGCCCGGACUCCUACGGGAGGCAGCAGUGGGGAAGAGAGCAUAAUGGGCGGAAGCAUGGUGCAGCAACGCCGCGUGCGGGGUGACAGCCUGCGGUUAGGAAAGCACAUUCGCCUGUGACGAAGCGUGAGUGACGGUAAUGGGUGAAGAAGCACCGGCUAACUACGUG